AACGAACGCUGGCGGCAUGCCUAACACAUGCAAGUCGAACGAGACCUUCGGGUCUAGUGGCGCACGGGUGCGUAACGCGUGGGAACCUGCCCUUAGGUUCGGAAUAACUCCCCGAAAGGGGUGCUAAUACCGGAGAAUGUCUUCGGACCAAAGAUUUAUCGCCUUUGGAUGGGCCCGCGUUGGAUUAGCUAGUUGGUAGGGUAAAAGCCUACCAAGGCGACGAUCCAUAGCUGGUCUGAGAGGAUGAUCAGCCACACUGGGACUAAGACACGGCCCAGACUCCUACGGGAGGCAGCAGUGGGGAAUAUUGGACAAUGGGCGAAAGCCUGAUCCAGCAAUGCCGCGUGAGUGAUGAAGGCCUUAGGGUUGUAAAGCUCUUUUACCCGGGAUGAUAAUGACAGUACCGGGAGAAUAAGCUCCGGCUAACUCCGUG
rnacentral:rRNA from 1 species